CUUUACUGCAGCUUCGCAGUGGCGCCAGGAAGGGACUGUGUAGGAUAGGUGGGAGGCUUUGAAGCCGGGGCGCUAGCCUUGGUGGAGCCAACCUUGAAAUACCACCCUGUGCCUUUCUGGCGUCUAACCGAACCCCGUUAUCCGGGGUCGGGACCCUGCGUGGUGGGCAGUUUGACUGGGGCGGUCGCCUCCCAAAGUGUAACGGAGGCGCGCGAUGGUGGGCUCAGGCCGGUCGGACAUCGGCUGUUGAGUGCAAAGGCACAAGCCCGCCUGACUGCGAGCGCGACAGCGCGAGCAGAGACGAAAGUCGGCCUUAGUGAUCCGGUGGUCCCGCGUGGAAGGGCCAUCGCUCAACGGAUAAAAGGUA
rnacentral:rRNA from 1 species